rnacentral:lncRNA from 1 species
CAUAAAUAAAGGAAAAACAUCUAUGGUACUAGCGAAAGAGUGUUAUGCUUCAAAUGUAGAAGUGCACUUGGACCGUGUUAAAAUAAUUAAAAAAACUGAAAACCUAGAGCAAGGCCUAAUAAGAGAGUCGUUAGAGAUAGAAAAAAGAAGAAAUUAUGAUAAUAUCCUGAACAACAGAGAUUCUAAGGAGGUACCAAUCCUAUGGCUAUAUGCCAUUAAGAAAACAAAUAGAUAGCAAAUAGCAGCAAUAUCAUGACACAUACACAAUACAAAGAAUUAUAGCAGCAUAGUGUUUUAUUCUUUAAAUAUUUAAUUUUAUAAUUAUUUUUUACUUUUA